rnacentral:rRNA from 1 species
UACGAAGGGGGCUAGCGUUGCUCGGAAUCACUGGGCGUAAAGCGCACGUAGGCGGCUUUUUAAGUCAGGGGUGAAAUCCUGGAGCUCAACUCCAGAACUGCCUUUGAUACUGAGAAGCUUGAGUUCGGGAGAGGUGAGUGGAACUGCGAGUGUAGAGGUGAAAUUCGUAGAUAUUCGCAAGAACACCAGUGGCGAAGGCGGCUCACUGGCCCGAUACUGACGCUGAGGUGCGGAAAGCGUGGGGAGCAAACAGGG